GUGGGUGCCCGGCACUGGGUGGCGGCUCUGGGAACCGCCGGAGAAGGCUGGAGGAUUGUUCCGCGCCUGGAGCAGGCGGACAGGGGCCGGGAUGGGGAUCCGAGUUAUGGUAUUGAUAUUUAAAGGAGUGCAAGGGCUAAAGAUCGGAGGGGUCGGGGAGAGAAGAGGGACUGUGAGGCUCGGAGACACCUUUCAACUAGAUAAUCUCAAAGCACGUUACAAGCCACGCACUCUCCUUUCCACUUUAUGGAUGAGAAAACUGAGUCAUAAAGAGGUGAAAUGGCGAGUAAAGGUCAAACGACAGCUCGCCUCCUUCGGCUCCCGCUCCGGGUGGGUCAGGCCCACCGAAAGGGACGUAGCCGGGCAGUGGCCGGGUGCCAGGAAGUGCGGCGCUGCGGGGCGAAUCCCAGGUUACCGGAAAGUGCGCGCGGCCCGCGGCAGCCGGCCUGGCCCACCGGGGAGAGAAAAGAGAAGGGCGAUCAGGAUUUUGGUCGUACCACGCUGCCCCCCUCCUCCCCGUUUAGUUUGUGAUCAGUAAUUUUCCAGCCGGGAAAUGUUUUCGACCUCAUCUUCUAUGCAAACAGUGUUUUUUUUUUUUAACGUGAGUGUGGUGUUCGGUAUCGCUCGCUGAACGUAGGCUGGCGAGGUGUUUACUUUGGACUGGGGCGCGCCGCGCCUGGCUCCGCCCGCGCUCUCCGCGGAGCCCCUCGCCCGCAACGCUGCCCUGCCCGGCCGGCGUCCGCCAGGGGAAGGAAAGGGAGGGAGGGCCUGGGAAAGGGGGUCGAAGUUCCAGCCCCGGGCAGGGUGUGCCCUCACCCCUUACUGAGCUCUCGUACAUGUUGCCGUGGUCACCUGUUUGAAUCCUGCGAUUCUGGUCCCUAUUAGGUUUCCACAGAAUAUUCGUUAUCCCUGAUUUUUCCACUCCUCGCCUGCCCACCACGGGAGCAUUCUUGGAAUGCACGUCGCCCGAAUGAAUCGACUCGGCCCUCUCUGCCAUCGCCCGGAAUCCGUCUAAGAUGUCUAAGGGGCAAGGAACUUCAAGUUCACAAAUCAUCUCCUUUCAAGGCAGGUGCCCGGUGUGACAACAGGGUUAUGACCCUCCCUCUCUUCAGAACAGCACAAACUGCAUUAGUCGGCGGAAGCUGUGACUCACACCAUUAGCGAGCGCUAGGGGAUUCGUGUGGAUCCACAGAGAGGUGUGAUGAUUGAAGAGGCUGCAUUCCUGUUUCAAGUGAGAGACUCUGCACCCAUAACUGGGCGUGGGGUCUGGACCCACAGAGCACCUCGGAGAGCGGGACUGCACCCCGGCUUGGGUGUCUGUGCAUAACUGCCGCAGAACUCAGGAAAAGAUGCUCUUUAAGAAGUGUCAGAGACCCGAGCACGUUUGAAUGUUGGCAGGGACGGCUGGUGGGAAGGAGCUGAUGACUGGCGCCGCGGACAGAGGAGGCGGCUGGCGGCUGGGUGCCCCGAGCAGAUGGAUGAGCAGACGGCAGGCUCAGGUGGAGGGAAGGAGAGAGGCAGGACCGGGAGUGUGGACGAGGAACGCCGAGAACGGAAGCCCCGUGUCUUCUGUGCUCAGUUUGCAAGAGCUGGUGUGGUAAGCCUGCAAUGUACGCAAUCUACCAUCAUCAUCAUCACUACCAUGAUCAUUAUUAUCUUAGUAAAAGGACAACUCUUAAAAACAGAAAGUUGAAGCUGUGGGCACAUGGUCUCCUAGAAGCUGUAACAACUUGCACCUGGAAUCAGGACUUACAGUAAAAUCAAAGCUCUAUGAAGAUGCACCAUGGUUUUUCAGGGGCUCAAGACCCCCUGAGGACUGCCACUGUGCCCAGAACUGUGACAAAAACCAAGCUAGCACCACUGAUGCAUGGAGUCAGGACACAGAAGGGACUUGUGGAAGUUGCUGAAUUGCUUUGUGGUUAGAGAACACAGCACACAUGCUAUGCUUCUGAAUUCUGUUGGACUUGCUUUAUAGUCUGGUGGACAAGGUUUCAUGUAUUAAGUGGAAACCAUAUGGAUGGCACUUUACAGACAUCAUCGUGACUCCUUCCAAUGCAAAUUCCAAAUACACAGUAAUGUUUACCUAACAGAUGGAGAAAUUGGAAGCUUAGAGAGCUGAGCAUUUGCUUGAAGUCUUGGCCAGGGUUGCACACUCAGGCCUAUCUCCACGUCUGUGUUCGUUCCCCUGAUUCUUGGAAAACCUAAGAUUAUGUCACUGCUGAUACUAAAUGGUGACCACAGGUUUGUUGUGAAGAUUCUGUGAGAUAAAACUUUUCGUGAAGCUCUGUGCAGGUGCUAGUCGGGAACAAUGCUAUAGGAUUAGCUAUGUGCUAGGCGCUGUUCCAAGCAUCCCUCCACCCUAGGAGGCAGGGACUCUUUACUCCCAUUUUACAGGAGAGAGAAGGAGGUCCCCAGUGACCCAUGAUGGCUGCGAAUCCCACAUCUAGAGGAGGGGCCCUGGCAGGAGGCUGUUGGUUGUCCCAAGAAGGAGCAGGGGACAGGAUGCGGCUUGAGGGGGUUUGAGCGAUGGGGAAACGUGAAGUGACUUGCAUGGGGGCACACGCCUUUCUGCCUCCAGGAAGGCACCAUCACUUCUCACCUGUGCAUCUGAGAGUUCCUUCUGGACUGAGUUGUGGCCGUGUGGUCUGGAGUGUGGCUCUUCCCAUCUGGACUCAUGCCACUGGCCACGCCCCCUCCAGCCUUAGGCAGAAGGAUCCAGGCUCAGUCAACCAUCCUCAUGUCCUUGCAUUAAGGAUCAGGGUAUGGGAGUAGUUCUGGGCCGGGAAAGAGAAGAUCUCUAUUUUCUGUUUCCCCAAUCUCUUAAUUCUUCUGCUAGUCUGUCCCUGGGAGACUCACUACAAGGUCAGGGAGUUGCCUCUUAGUUUCUAACAAGGGAUGCAUAGUUUCCUUCGUGACUUGACAUGGGGAGAGGAAGGCAGGGGUGGAGUUAGCCCUGCCUUACCUAGGACAGAGAUGAAGUAAGAAGGGGGACCUCAACUCCUUUCCUUUUUUAUUUUCUUGGGAGAGCAGAUACAGCUGAUGGGACACCUCAGUUCUAAGACAACAUCCGUUGUAAGUCACAUUCUCAAUUCAAUACCAGGCUUCACAGGGAGAAAAAAGACACAUAGUCGCUGAGCAUAUCUGUGGGCUGUGAAUUCCUGCAUUUAUCUGCCUUUGUUUUCCUGUGUAGACACAAGGCUGCCUGGCCUCCCAUAGCCACCCUCCAGGCAGGUGGAACUAUCUCCAUUUCACAGAUGGGGAAGCUGAAUCUCUCAUCCCUACCUACAAUAUCAAGAAUCCAAAGAUCCCCACAGAAACAUCUGGAAAUAAAAGAUGCUGCCACAGAGCCAGCUGCUCAACUACUUGU